rnacentral:rRNA from 1 species
UACCAGCACCCCGAGUGGGCGGGCCGUUUAUUGGGCCUAAAGCAUCCGUAGCCGGUUCUACAAGUCUUCCGUUAAAUCCAGCUGCUUAACAGAUGGGCUGCGGAAGAUACUAUAGGGCUAGGAGGCGGGAGAGGCAAGCGGUACUCAGUGGGUAGGGGUAAAAUCCUCUGAUCCAUUGAAGACCACCAGUGGCGAAGGCGGCUUGCCAGAACGCGCUCGACGGUGAGGGAUGAAAGCUGGGGGAGCAAACCGG